GACGAACGCUGGCGGCGUGCUUAACACAUGCAAGUCGAACGGAAAGGCCCUGCUUGCGGGGUACUCGAGUGGCGAACGGGUGAGUAACACGUGGGUGAUCUGCCCCGCAUUUCGGGAUAAGCCUGGGAAACUGGGUCUAAUACCGGACAGGAGCCACCUUUAUUGUGAUGGUUGGAAAGUUUUUUCUGUGUAGGAUGAGCUCGCGGCCUAUCAGCUUGUUGGUGGGGUAAUGGGCUACCAAGGCGGUGACGGGUAGGCGGCCUGGGAGGGGGGACGGGCACAAUGGGACUGGGAAACGGGCCAGACUCCUACGGGAGGCAGGCGGGGGGAAAAUUGCGCAAAGGGGGCAAGCCUGGUGCAACGACGCCGGGGUGGGGAUGACGGGCUUCGGGUUGGAAACUCCUUUCGCGAGGGACGAAGCUGUUUGUGACGGUACCUAGAUAAGAAGCACCGGCUAACUACGUG
rnacentral:rRNA from 1 species